GCCAAAUGAUGUAAAACAGAUGACAUUAGCAUACUGUGCAAAGAUGACUUACAUCUAUCACCCAUUGCUGAUGGCU